rfam:Kwoniella heveanensis BCC8398 unplaced genomic scaffold supercont1.65, whole genome shotgun sequence.
GGCGAGAUGAUGGAGCGGUCUAACAUGCUGUCUUAAGGAGACGAGUUCUCUUCAAAGAAUAACAUCCUCGGCAGUCCUUCGGGGCCUGGGUUCGAAUCCCAGUCUCGUCA